rnacentral:rRNA from 1 species
GAUGAACGCUGGCGGCGUGCCUAAUACAUGCAAGUCGAGCGAACAGACGAGGAGCUUGCUCCUCUGACGUUAGCGGCGGACGGGUGAGUAACACGUGGAUAACCUACCUAUAAGACUGGGAUAACUUCGGGAAACCGGAGCUAAUACCGGAUAAUAUAUUGAACCGCAUGGUUCAAUAGUGAAGGACGGUUUUGCUGUCACUUAUAGAUGGAUCCGCGCCGCAUUAGCUAGUUGGUAAGGUAACGGCUUACCAAGGCGACGAUGCGUAGCCGACCUGAGAGGGUGAUCGGCCACACGGGAACUGAGACACGGUCCAGACUCCGAGGGGAGGCAGCAGUAGGGAAUCUUCCGCAAGGGGCGAAAGCCUGAAGGAGCAACGCCGCGUGAGUGAUGAAGGUCUUCGGAUCGUAAAACGCUGUUAUUAGGGAAGAACAAAUGUGUAAGUAACGAUGCACGUCUUGACGGUACCGAAUCAGAAAGCCACGGCUAACUACGU